rnacentral:lncRNA from 1 species
UGGAAAGCUGCUGAAAAUUAGGUCACCCCAAAGCCUUCUCUUUUCCAGGCUCAACAAUCCCAAUUCUCUCAACGUUUCCUCAUGGGAGAAUUGCUCCAUCCUUUUGAUCAACUCGGUGUCCUCCUCUGGACUCGCUCCAGAGGUGAAGAAACAUCUGCUGUGUCACAGCGCCGUGGGGAGAGAGACGAUAAAUACACAGAUAAUGCAAGUGCUGUUCAUCUGCGUGCGUUCAUUUCUCCCACUGUGCAAAUGCCUUCCACAGAAAUCCCUUUCCCUGGGCGAAGUCUCAGAGUGCCUGCGGGAUCAGUGACCUGUGCAGAAGCAGCUGCCAGAACACAGCUCCUGGGGCUGAUCCCCAGCUCUACACGCACCCCUUGGCAGCACAGGCAGAAGAACACCAGCAAGGUUCUCCUUAAUGCUCCAGAUGGGUUUGCCUUCCAAGAGGCCACUGAAAGUGGGAUCUGUCCAAAUGCUCAGCUCCUGCACCAGUCUCCACCAAAAGAAAAAAAUGCAACCAGCAUUCAGUGAGUAGAAGCAGUGCCUGGGCACUUCUGCAGUGCCUGCCCUGUCUGCCCAUCCCUGCUUCUCAUUUGGUUUCAGCCUCAUGCUGAGGGGUCUAAAGGAACAUUUCUGCUUUGCCGUCAUGCUCAAAUAAGAAGUGCACCUCAAAUAAGAAAUGCAUCUCUGCCUCCAAGGGGGAGACAUUGAUAGUUACCUUCUUGCAGCUGCUGGGACAAUUCUGUGUAUUUGUCCAUAAAAAGGGAGAAGGCUGCAGAGGGGACCUGCUUUUAGCACAUAUUGAGGAAAGUACUGUGUGCUGGCAGCAGGAGGUGGCACUGGAAAACCACAGACGAACAAACACGUGAGGAAAAAAGAUCCCAGUCAGGGGCACAGGGCACAGUAUGUGUGCUCAUCCUUCAUUACUUUGAUGCCCCUGUCCCUGGUGCCUCCAUAUCAGAAGCCUGAUGAUGUACUGGCCACUUCAAGAGAGUUUUACACAAAAUUAAUUCAAAAGUGCCUGGCAAAAAAACAGUACACCAGGCACAUGGGUUCUUUCCUUUCCUUUCUUGGGUUGCCUUCCCUGCAGGGAAGGCUUUUCUCUAUAGAAAGACUUUUGAAAAGAUGGCUUAAAAAUAGUUUAGCUUAUCUUUUUCAGAAAAGUCAUGAGACUGCCUUCGAUUUCAUGGGUUAGCUCAAACCCUGAGGAAAGAAAAUAGGAUCAAUUCCCAAUGAGAAUGCAAAACACAACAAAUGACCCAUCUCUCAGAGGCAGAACUGAAUUUGGAAUGAAAGGGUUAAAGGGGCAAACAGAAAUCCAAGCCUACACAUCAGCCUGGCUAAAGAUCCUCUUCAGUUUUUAAACUAUUUUGAUUUAAUGUUUCUGGGUUGUCAAAAUACCUGUAGACCUCCAGAGCUCCCAUGGAGAAAAUAACUUAAUUUCAAAUGUCAUUAAAAACAAAAAAAAAGAGCAACACUAAAAAUAGAAGUACACCAGCAGUUGCAACAACAUUUUUAGGCAGACUUUAUC